rnacentral:miRNA from 1 species
AAUAAUAUAUUCAGAUUUUAUGAAAUUUAUUUAUUAUUUAUUUGAUAUAAAUUAAACAAAAUAAUUGUAAAAUUAAAAUAAAUAGUAAAUAAAUUUCUCAAAAUCUGAUUA